rnacentral:rRNA from 1 species
UACAGAGGGUGCGAGCGUUGUCCGGAAUCGACUGGGCGUAAAGGGCGCGUAGGCGGCCUGGCAAGUCUGUGGUGAAAGCUCGUGGCUCAACUGCGAGUCGGCCAUAGAUACUGCGAGGCUCGAGUUCGACUAGAGGCAGAUGGAAUUCCGGGUGUAGCGGUGGAAUGCGUAGAGAUCCGGAAGAACACCGGUGGCGAAGGGCGGUCUGCUGGGGUCGAACUGACGCUGAUGACGCGACGAGCGUGGGGAGCAAACAGG